rnacentral:rRNA from 1 species
UAAGAUGAGAGUUUGAUCCUGGCUCAGGACGAACGCUGGCGGCAUGCCUAAUACAUGCAAGUCGAACG